CCUACGCGAGGCAGCAGUGGGGAAUAUUGGGCAAUGGGCGCAAGCCUGACCCAGCAACGCCGCGUGAAGGAAGAAGGCUUUCGGGUUGUAAACUUCUUUUCUGAGGGACGAAGAAAGUGACGGUACCUCAGGAAUAAGCCACGGCUAACUACGUGCCAGCAGCCGCGGUAAUACGUAGGUUGCAAGCGUUAUCCGGAUUUAUUGGGUGUAAAGGGCGUGUAGGCGGGAAAGCAAGUCAGAUGUGAAAACUCAGGGCUCAACCCUGGGCCUGCCUUUGAAACUGUUUUUCUUGAGUGCUGGAGAGGCGAUCGGAAUUCCGGGUGUAGCGGUGAAAUGCGUAGAUAUACGGAGGAACACCAGUGGCGAAGGCGGAUUGCUGGACAGUAACUGACGCUGAGGCGCGAAAGCGUGGGGAGCAAACAGGAUUAGAUACCCCUGUAGUC
rnacentral:rRNA from 1 species